GAACGAUGCGUUUACAGUGCAACGGUCGCUUGCUUAGCAGCGUGCUUGUACAGCGAUUCUUGCCCGUUAUGUUCUUAGCGUGAUGUGUGACAUAGGCGUUGGUUUUAUAAUCUAAAUGAUUUGUCUGCAAGUUACGACAGUGCGACAGUACAAUGAGCGCCAGCGGCCGGCGGGUGGGUGUUAUAGGAUUGCAGCUUGACUACAACUGUGGAGACCGCUUUAUAUCAAACCUUAAGCUGCUGGGGCUCAAAGGAAAAUAUCGAUCCAUUAUGUGCUAUUAAGAACAUCUCAAAUACUUUGUUGAAUGAUUCAAGAUGUCCACAAGGCAGUCAAGCAAGGGACCAAUCAACCAUGAAUUCUUUGGAUCUGCCGUUGCUGGGAGCAGCAAUCCUACAAAGGGGCACCGGUUACAUACAAGCUAACCUCUGUCCGAACAGGCCGCUCUAAGUGAAGGCACUUCAACCGGUCCCAGCUCAACAAUGAGGUUUGCAACCAGUUCCAGUCGAGACUGCGA